rnacentral:tRNA from 1 species
GUCGACGUACUCAAGAGGCUCAAGAGGCUUCCCUGCUAAGGAAGUAGGUUGGGUAACUGGCGCGAGGGUUCGAAUCCCUCCGUCGACGCCA